UACGUAGGGUGCAAGCGUUAAUCGGAAUUACUGGGCGUAAAGCGUGCGCAGGCGGUUAUGUAAGACAGAUGUGAAAUCCCCGGGCUCAACCUGGGAACUGCAUUUGUGACUGCAUAGCUAGAGUACGGGUAGAGGGGGAUGGAAUUCCGCGUGUAGCAGUGAAAUGCGUAGAUAUGCGGAGGAACACCGAUGGCGAAGGCAAUCCCCUGGACCUGUACUGACGCUCAUGCACGAAAAGCGUGGGGAGCAAACAGG
rnacentral:rRNA from 1 species